GCAAACUUGGUCAUUUAGAGGAAGUAAAAGUCGUAACAAGGUUUCCGUAGGUGAACCUGCGGAAGGAUCAUUAACAAUUAAAUCAUCUAAAAGAUGAAAUACUUUGUGUGCAAUGUAUUGUUAAGAAAAAAGGAUGGAAUUAGUUUUUCAUCCUUUUUUUUUAUAUACACCACUGAAACUUUUGAAUAAAAAUAUUUUUUUUAAAAAUAAAUACAACUUUCAACAACGGAUCUCUUGGCUCUCGCAUCGAUGAAGAACGCAGC
rnacentral:misc_RNA from 1 species